rnacentral:sRNA from 1 species
CUGGCAGCCCUGCAGCCUCUUCUGUAUACCCACAGCACAGAUGCACCACAGGUAGUGACAGUGCCAACAUCCCCACACUGCCUCUGCCUCUGCCUCUGCCACAUGCCUCGCCCUGACUUGGAGAGGCCACCUCUAGAGGGGAGGGAAGAGUUUGAAUCCAUGCCUUCUCUUUGAAGAU